rnacentral:piRNA from 1 species
UGACUUUGGAUGUGUCCUAAUAGCAGAUCA